CCUACGGGUGGCUGCAGUGAGGAAUAUUGGUCAAUGGGCGCGAGCCUGAACCAGCCAAGUAGCGUGAAGGAUGACUGCCCUACGGGUUGUAAACUUCUUUUAUAAAGGAAUAAAGUGAGGCACGUGUGCCUUUUUGUAUGUACUUUAUGAAUAAGCAUCGGCUAACUCCGUGCCAGCAGCCGCGGUAAUACGGAGGAUCCGAGCGUUAUCCGGAUUUAAUGGGUUUAAAGGGAGCGUAGAUGGGUUGUUAAGUCAGUUGUGAAAGGUUGCGGCUCAACCGAAAGAUUGCAAGUGAUACUGGCAGUCUUGAGUACAGUGGAGGUAGGCGGAAUUCGUGGUGUAGCGGUGAAAUGCGUAGAUAUCACGAAGAACUCCGAUUGCGAAGGCAGCUUACUAAACUGCCACUGACAUUGAUGCUCGAAAGUGUGGGUAGCAAACAGGAUUAGAUACCCGAGUAGUC
rnacentral:rRNA from 1 species